UGACUUUAGACUGAGUGUUCUCAUCUAUCAACUGUUCAUCUCUGAACAGUGUUGAAAUAUUCAACGCGCUUGAAAACAGACGCCGAAGUAAGGCAUGAACUCUCGAGGAAUGGAAGUCAUGGCCAACAGACUGGAUCUCAGCGUUCCCUUCCUCUCUUUUGUCCCAGGGGUCUGUCUGUGGCGUCCAUCCAGGUCGAGCUCGCAGGCUCGGAGCUGAGAGAAGAGGAGAGGGGCCAACAAGGGCAGAGUAAUGGUCUAAGAGAAACCACACAGGAUACGGCGCUCGUUGUGGCGGACGGGCCAUUAUCUCAUAAGGGCCAUUAUCAUAAUGGGGUGACCGUCGCGAUAUGACAGAUAUCACAGAAGGACUGACACAUAAACAGUUUUUAUAAGAUGAAUUAGCCAGUGUACAAUCUCUGCGGUAAAACACAUUUUACCCAUAGCUGUAUACUGAUGUAUAUAACCUUGUCAAGGUGGAUUACAGUUGCUU